UACGUAGGGGGCAAGCGUUGUCCGGAUUCAUUGGGCGUAAAGAGCGUGUAGGCGGCCAGGUAGGUCGGUUGUGAAAACUGGAGGCUCAACCUUCAGAGGUCGACCGAAACCAUCUGACUAGAGUCCGGAAGAGGAGAGUGGAAUUCCUGGUGUAGCGGUGAAAUGCGCAGAUAUCAGGAAGAACACCCGUGGCUAAGGCGGCUCUCUAGUACGGUACUGACGCUGAGACGCGAAAGCGUGGGGAGCGAACAGG
rnacentral:rRNA from 1 species